rnacentral:rRNA from 1 species
GACAGAGGGUGCAAACGUUGUUCGGAAUUACUGGGCGUAAAGCGUGUGUAGGCGGCCUUAUAAGUCGGAUGUGAAAGCCCAGGGCUCAACCCUGGAAGUGCACUCGAUACUGUAAGGCUCGAGUACUGGAGAGGUUGGUGGAAUUCUCGGUGUAGAGGUGAAAUGCGUAGAUAUCGGGAGGAACACCUGUGGCGAAAGCGGCGCACUGGACCACAACUGACGCUGAGGCGCGAAAGCUAGGGGAGCAAACAGG